rnacentral:rRNA from 1 species
GACGAACGCUGGCGGCGUGCUUAACACAUGCAAGUCGAACGGAAAGGCCCUGCUUUUGUGGGGUGCUCGAGUGGCGAACGGGUGAGUAGCACGUGAGUAACCUGCCCUUGACUUUGGGAUAACUUCAGGAAACUGGGGCUAAUACCGGAUAGGAGCUCCUGCUGCAUAGUGGGGGUUGGAAAGUUUCGGCGGUUGGGGAUGGACUCGCGGCUUAUCAGCUUGUUGGUGGGGUAGUGGCUUACCAAGGCUUUGACGGGUAGCCGGCCUGAGAGGGUGACCGGCCACAUUGGGACUGAGAUACGGCCCAGACUCCUACGGGAGGCAGCAGUGGGGAAUAUUGCACAAUGGGCGGAAGCCUGAUGCAGCAACGCCGCGUGCGGGAUGACGGCCUUCGGGUUGUAAACCGCUUUCGCCUGUGACGAAGCGUGAGUGACGGUAAUGGGUAAAGAAGCACCGGCUAACUACGUG